rnacentral:rRNA from 1 species
CGCGUAGGCGGUCCAGUUAGUCGGAUGUGAAAGCCCUGGGCUCAACCCAGGAAGUGCAUCCGAAACUGCUGGACUUGAGUACGGGAGAGGGAAGUGGAAUUCCUGGUGUAGGGGUGAAAUCCGUAGAUAUCAGGAGGAACACCGGUGGCGAAGGCGACUUCCUGGACCGAUACUGACGCUGAGGCGCGAAAGCGUGGGGAGCAAACAGGAUUAGAUACCCUGGUAGUCCACGCCGUAAACGGUGGGCACUAGGUGUAGCGGGUAUUGACCCCCGCUGUGCCGUAGCUAACGCAUUAAGUCGCCCCGCCUGGGGAUUACGGCCGCAAGGUUGAA